UACGUAGGGUGCGGAGCGUUAAUCGGAAUUACUGGGCGUAAAGCGUGCGCAGGUGGUCAUGCAAGACAGAUGUGAAAUCCCCGGGCUUAACCUGGGAACUGCAUUUGUGACUGCACGGCUAGAGUGCGGCAGAGGGGGAUGGAAUUCCGCGUGUAGCAGUGAAAUGCGUAGAUAUGCGGAGGAACACCGAUGGCGAAGGCAAUCCCCUGGGCCUGCACUGACGCUCAUGCACGAAAGGCGUGGGGAGCAAACAGG
rnacentral:rRNA from 1 species